rnacentral:rRNA from 1 species
GAGUUUGAUCCUGGCUCAGAUUGAACGCUGGCGGCAUGCCUUACACAUGCAAGUCGAACGGCAGCACGGGGGGUAACCCCUGGUGGCGAGUGGCGAACGGGUGAGUAAUACAUCGGAACGUAUCCUGUAGCGGGGGAUAACCUCUCGAAAGAGAGGCUAAUACCGCAUACGACCUACGGGUGAAAGAGGGGGAUCGCAAGACCUCUCACUAUUGGAGCGGCCGAUGUCGGAUUAGCUAGUUGGCGGGGUAAAAGCCCACCAAGGCUACGAUCCGUAGCUGGUCUGAGAGGACGACCAGCCACACUGGAACUGAGACACGGUCCAGACUCCUACGGGAGGCAGCAGUGGGGAAUUUUGGACAAUGGGCGCAAGCCUGAUCCAGCCAUGCCGCGUGGGUGAAGAAGGCCUUCGGGUUGUAAAGCCCUUUCGGCUGGGACGAAAAGAUUCGGGUUAAUAACCCGGAUCCAUGACGGUACCAGCAGAAGAAGCACCGGCUAACUACGUGCCAGCAGCCGCGGUAAUACGUAGGGUGCAGGCGUUAAUCGGAAUUACUGGGCGUAAAGCGUGCGCAGGCGGUCUGCUAAGAGAGGUGUGAAAUCCCCGGGCUUAACCUGGGAACUGCGCUUCUAACUGGCAGGCUUGAGUGUGGCAGAGGGGGGUGGAAUUCCACGUGUAGCAGUGAAAUGCGUAGAGAUGUGGAGGAACACCGAUGGCGAAAGCAGCCCCCUGGGCUAACACUGACGCUCAUGCACGAAAGCGUGGGGAGCAAACAGGAUUAGAUACCCUGGUAGUCCACGCCCUAAACUAUGUCAACUGGUUUGUCGGGGAAGCAAUUCCUUGGUAACGAAGCUAACGCGUGAAGUUGACCGCCUGGGGGAGUACGGCCGCAAGGUUAAAACUUCAAAGGAAUU